rnacentral:rRNA from 1 species
GAUGAACGCUGGCGGCGUGCCUAAUACAUGCAAGUCGAGCGAACGGACGAGAAGCUUGCUUCUCUGAUGUUAGCGGCGGACGGGUGAGUAACACGUGGAUAACCUACCUAUAAGACUGGGAUAACUUCGGGAAACCGGAGCUAAUACCGGAUGAUAUUUUGAACCGCAUGGUUCAAAAGUGAAAGACGGUCUUGCUGUCACUUAUAGAUGGAUCCGCGCUGCAUUAGCUAGUUGGUAAGGUAACGGCUUACCAAGGCAACGAUGCAUAGCCGACCUGAGAGGGUGAGUGGGCCAAAGUGGACCAGAAACCGGCUCCGAACACCAAGGGGGGGCAGCAGGGGGAAUUUUGCCGAAAGGGGCGAAACCCUGAGGAGAAAACAGCGGGGGAGAAAGAAAGUUGUUGGGAUCUUAAACCUUUGUAAUUAGGAAAAAACAGGUGGGAAAGUAACACUCCCCCCGUGGAGGGACCCUAUCAAAAAAGCACGGCUAAACACGUU